GUAUUUGGGUAAUCGCUGCAUGUUUACAUGUAGAGGAAAGUCCAUGCUCACACAAUCUGAGAUGAUUGUAGUGUUCGUGCCUGAUGAAGUCAUAAGUCAGGGUAGUCUAGCGAUAGACUAACGGCAGGUGGCAUGUCUAAGUUCUUCGGAAUAUGAUAUGUGUACCUUGAAAGUGCCACAGUGACGGAGUCUGUCUAGAAAUGGACAGAGUGGAACGAGGUAAACCCCACGAGUGAGAAACCCAAAAUAAGGUAGGGGCAUCCUUGAGACGGAAAUGAACGGAUCAAGGGACAGAGCAGUCUGUAGACAGAUGAUUACCGCUCUUGUACGAGGGCUGACACCCGUUUGGAGUACGGAGUAACAGAACAUGGCUUACUAAA
rnacentral:RNase_P_RNA from 1 species